CACGGGUUGUGAUACUGAUGGGCUUUGAGAUGGUCAGACAGCGGAUGGAUCUGGAGUUCAUGUCAUAAUGGCUGUUAUGCUGGUUCCCGAACAUCGAACUGGAGACAGACUUGAGACAAAUUUAACCGCUAACUAUCUAGGCCACUUUCUGCUGACCCGCCUUCUGCUGGACAGCAUGGUGCAUUCUGGGAAGGAUGGCUCAUGCUCGAGGGUCAUCAGCGUCUCAUCCUCCGGACACUUCGCCGCUGACGCCCAUAUGAAGGAUCUUCUCAGCAUGUGAGUGGAAAAACACAGCACGGGUCUGCAGUGGAAAUCAGUGACCCGAAGCCAGACGAUAUCUUCAGAUCUAGAGCGCAGCGAUGCUGAAAUAAAUCACAGAUAAGAGCCGCUCGUCUGGCCCGGAGCGAGAGACUCCAGACGAUCUGAAGCAGUCUCUGGAUGUGACAUGUCUGAAGGAGAUGAAGAUCUUCAGGCUGGACUCAGAGCUCGUUCACUGAAGGAUGAUCGACUCACGAUCUCACACCGCAGAACUGUGAGGAGUCACGUCAUUCAUGGUUCUUCUGUUGGAGAAUCACUGUGAAGCUUCUUCUUCAGUCCUGAUCUGUAAGUGCUGCUGUGUUUCUCUGGGCUCCUGAUCUGUUAUAUCUCCACAUGACCGACUCGUUCCAUUAUAUCAUGCUCUCAUUCUCUGUUUGUUAUCUCAAGUAAACAAUACGCUUGUCUUCGUAAUCAUUCAUAAAAAAGAAGAAACUUGUGUUCCCCAGAUAACUGCAAACCUUCCAAAGACAGGUGUUCUUAGAAUAAUGUUUAUGGAACUUUUUAAAUAUACGUUCUCUUAGCGUUGGGAGGAAACAUUCAUAGAACGUUAUCAGAGUGUGUUUAUGAUGUUAUUAGUACGUUAUAUGUUCGAUAACAUUCAUCAGUAACAAUGCAACAUUUUCGUAACAUUAUCAAAAUGAGUUGUAAGUAUUUUUUAAAAUGUGCAAAUCAUUUGUAUGCAACCUAUUGUUUUAAGUGUACCUGUUUGCACUUGUUUACUCUCUAAUUAAUGAACAUGAGCAAACAGAGAGUGCAACUCUACAUUUAUUUCCUUA